rnacentral:misc_RNA from 1 species
GAUGAAGAACGCAGCGAAACGCGAUAAGUAAUGUGAAUUGCAGAAUUCAGUGAAUCAUCGAAUCUUUGAACGCACCUUGCGCCUUUUGGUAUUCCGAAAGGCACACCUGUUUGAGCGUCAUGAAUACCUCAAUCUCCAUCUUUUCUUCGGAUUGAUGGGUGACUUGGAUGUUGAGCCCUGCUGGUAUGCUAUAUCAGCUGGCUUUAAACUUAUUAGCCGGCUCUGUACUGGAUCGGUUUGACUCGACGUGAUAAUAUUAUCGUUGAGGAUGCAUGUCUCAUGCAGCCGGAAAGUAUCAAAGCAGCUUCUAGCUUGCCUUUAGUGCACUUUUACAUUUUAGACCUCAGAUCAGGUGGGACUACCCGCUGAACUUAAGCAUAUCAAUAAGCGGAGG